UUAAAGGAAAAAAAAUGUCAGAAAAAGUUGCAGAGAAGAAUCACUUCACUGACGGGAGUCGGACGCUGCAGGCCUUGUAAUGUAAACAGACCUUCUAACUGUGGCCGAACACUUCUCACCGGUGGUCUUGAGUUCAAUCCCUACCUGAGCAAAGAGCUGAUCUGCACCCAAACAAUCCGACUCCUUAUCUGGCGCAUCAGGUACCGAAACGACAACAAAAACCCGGGCGACAGGUGAAUUAUUUUCCUACCCUUACAGGCAGCGUCGGGCCGGACCUGCUUAGAUAUUCCUGCUCGUCCGAAUAGUUGGAAAUUAAAAGCAGUGGUGGAAAUGAGAUGCCACCAAUGACUAAUAGGUAA